GAGAGGUUGGCGCGGGCGAACGCCUUGCCAACUCGGUCAGGUCCGGAAGGAAGCAGCCGUAACAAGAUCCGUUUGGGUCGCUGUCCAGCCUCUCACC
rnacentral:SRP_RNA from 1 species